GAGUAGGGCUACACACGUGCUACAAUGGUCGGUACAAAGGGUUGCCAACUCGCGAGAGUGAGCCAAUCCCGAAAAGCCGAUCUCAGUCCGGAUCGGAGUCUGCAACUCGACUCCGUGAAGUCGGAAUCGCUAGUAAUCGUAGAUCAGAAUGCUACGGUGAAUACGUUCCCGGGCCUUGUACACACCGCCCGUCACACCAUGGGAGUGGACUGCACCAGAAGUGGUUAGCCUAACGCAAGAGGGCGAUCACCACGGUGUGGUUCAUGACUGGGGUGAAGUCGUAACAAGGUAGCCGUAGGGGAACCUGCGGCUGGAUCACCUCCUUAACCGAUGA
rnacentral:rRNA from 1 species